GGGCGGCGGGCGCCGCUUCACCUGCCGGAGCGGGAGGCGACCGAGGCGAGGCAGAGGCGGCGGCGCGCGCGGCGGCGCCUCCGGGUCCUAGAACCGCAUGCUCCCGCUCACUCGGAACCGGGGAUCGGCUGGGUCUGGGUGAGGGCGGGGGGCUGAGGGUAGGGUCACGGCCCGGGAACCGGAGUGGUCAAACCUCCUUGUCGAGGAUGCCAGCAACUGCGAGCGCGGCUUGGAGACCCAUGACAGUACGGCGUUUGGGCGCAAGGGCUGGGUGCCCCUCUCGGAUUCUCGACCGAGAAGGCGGGAGCCCCCUUCCAGGCCCCCCACCCCUUGUUUCUCUCCUGAUCUGUUUAGUCCAGAGAGGAGCUGAGGACCAGAAGGAACCAUCUGCAAAUGAGAACCCCAAAGGAAGGCGAGGGGCGCAGAUCCAUGCCAACCGAGACCCCCGCGACCUGUCCCACCCUGCACCAACUCUGCGCGCUACCGACAUCCCCAGGGUUUUAGAAUUCGGGCGCCUAUGGGGAAAGGCAAGGGACCUGGGGUGGCCUCUCACCUUGGCGAAUAACAGUCCCUGAAGUCUAGCAAUUACAGAAAUGCUUCCAGAGGCCUUCUUUCAUUCAUCCCUACAAUGACUGGGGAAGCAUUUGUGGAAAACCCCCGCUGCCCCUCCCUGCAUUUCCAAGACAUUGAGGAUGGAGGACCCGCUAAAUGAGCCCUGGAGUUUCUCUAGGCCAGGCCAGAGGCCGUAAGUGUCCCUUCUCCCAUAGCUUCGCCUUCCUUCCACCUUUCCUUUCACAUUCAGAAGCACUGACAAAAGUUCAGCAGGAGCUGGGAAAUUUAUCUAAUUUUAAGAAAGGCCCUGGGAUGAGACAGCCCCUUCCCACAAACUGACCUGAUUUAAGCGCCUCUGCUGCCAAGGUCACCAGCACCUCUGGUGGUUAACUUAUUGCAUGUCCCCGCCAGAGACCCACAGGUAAGACAAAGCAGGAUUUUCCUUGAAUCUGCUAAGAAGGGGAUCCAUGCCGUGCCCACUACCCUUAUCUUCAGCUGCCCUUGGGUUCUUGCCUUUGACAUUAGCUAGAGCCUCUUUUUUUUUCUUUUUAAAGAAUUUAGUCCCUGGUCCCCUCCAUGCUUGUCCCUUUCCAUUUAACAACAAACCUUUAACUGCCACCAAGCUGUGUGCCCAGCGCUGUGCUCACUCCUGUUGGUUCAGUGACAGAGGAAAAGAGUCCCCAUUAUUGGACUGCUCACAGCCUAGCAAGAGACAGACUCCAAACACAUCUGGGAGAGUAACUACCACCAGGCAGACUGGUACCAGGUGUUCAUACUUCUCUUGCCCAGAACUACUUCUUCCUGUAGGUAGGAGAAGGAUGGGAGUUGUACACUGCAGCUGAAAAUCUGAGCGGAUUGGGGAGCCCUCAGCCUGAGCCCUCCAUCCCUGGAGAUGCUCUGGCCAUUGCCAACCACCGCCACCCAAGGCAAGGUGGAAACAAGGCUAGGCUAAGUAGAACCUCUUACAUGGAAAAUGAUGAACUCAGCAAGCCUACAUUCUUUCUCACGCGCGCACUGAUCAGAAAUGUGAGGCACAAAAAAGAGAGAGAAUUGAAUCAAUUAUUACCUAAUAAAUUUGGUUGGCUUGGCAGGAAGUAUCUUUCCAAUCAUGGCCCACAGAGGAGGAAAUCCUAGAAGGGAGGCUUGGUGAAGUUUGGAACCAAUGCUUUGGUGGGUCUGUGCUUCCACCUGCUGGGCGCAGGAGGUAUGACAUCCAGACAGGGCGAGGCCUCCAGAAGUGAUGGAGAUGGACCCAGCGUGGGUGACAUUUCUGGACUGUUGUGGCCUUGUCACCUUCGAUGGAGAAAUUGUGCAGUCACUAGGGACACUCAGAGCUUCGAUGACUGAGCAGGUCUCCCCAGGAAUCUCCCUCCCUCUGCCCGAUCACCAUUACUCAGCGAGUGCCUCUUCAAAUUAAAAAAAAAAAUUUUUUUAAGAUAAUAUAUACACGUGAUCAGUUUAAAUGAAAAGCAGUUUUGGGGCACCUGGGUGGAUCAGUCGGUUGAGUGUCCGACUUUGGCUCAGGUCAUGAUCUC